GCGAGAGGAGACGGCUGGAAGUAUGAAGAAGCGUGACAGAGAGAAAGUGGAGAUGGCCGACAGUCAGAGAAUAGAGGAUGAAGGGAUGAAUGUGCUUACCAGUGAAUACCUGCAGUCAAUCUCCAAGGUGGCUGACACACCAGAAGCUUCUGGAAGUUGUAUUGAAAGCACUGAUGAUGAAUAUAUUCCAUCAAAAGACUCAGGGAAUGAAAGUAGUUCAGAGGGAUUUGACAGUCCUGCAAAAAGGGUCCCAUUGUUGAAAAUUAAGAAAACAAAGAAGUCACAAAAGACUUCCAGAAGAAAAACACUUCCAAGUACAUCUUCGGAAGAAAUGCAGGAAGAUGUGGAAAGUGAUCUUUCAGAGACGGAUGCAUCAAAGGAGUCAUCUUUCAGCUCCUCAACAUCGAGAUCCUCAACACCUAAGAGAAGAAAGGAGACAGGAUCUGACAUUGAUGACCCUAAAGAGGGUACUUCUCACACCCACCGCACACCCUGUUUUGCCUCAGGAACUUCAACAAAGGAAAAGGAGUCUGACACUGAUGCCACUAAAAUGGGACCACCAAGAUUCAAGCAAGGACAGUGGACCACAGAUGAGCCUGAUGGUGACCACACUACCGCAGGAACAUCAAAGAAGAGGACUUGGACAUCAGCUGAGGUCCAAGCUGUGGAAAAGACACUAAUGUCCUUCAUUGAGUCUGGUAAAGUACCAGGAAAGUCAGAC
ensembl:lncRNA